UAGUGGUGAAGCUGUUUUCCUUG
rnacentral:piRNA from 1 species